UACGUAGGGUGCAAGCGUUAAUCGGAAUUACUGGGCGUAAAGCGUGCGCAGGCGGUUUUGUAAGACUGUCGUGAAAUCCCCGGGCUUAACCUGGGAAUGGCGAUGGUGACUGCAAGGCUAGAGUGUGGCAGAGGGGGGUGGAAUUCCACGUGUAGCAGUGAAAUGCGUAGAGAUGUGGAGGAACACCGAUGGCGAAGGCAGCCCCCUGGGUUAACACUGACGCUCAGGCACGAAAGCGUGGGGAGCAAACAGG
rnacentral:rRNA from 1 species